CGGUAAUUCCAGCUCCAAUAGCGUAUACUAAAGUUGUUGCAGUUAAAAAGCUCGUAGUUGGAUUUCUGCGGGGACGGAGCGGCCGGUCGCAACUUGCGACUCGAGCUAGCGCUUUCCCCGCAUCCUGCCGCGAACCGUGCUACCAUUAGUUUGGUGGCGCUGGGGAUCGGCUCGAUUACUUUGAGAAAAAUAGAGUGUUCAAAGCAGGCCACAUGCCUUGAAUAAGUUAGCAUGGAAUAAUGACUAAGGACUUCGGUUCUAUUUUGUUGGUGUUCGGGACUGAAGUAAUGAUUGAUAGGGACAGUUGGGGCGGUCUGUAUUCCAAAGCGAGAGGUGAAAUUCUUAGACCUUCGGAAGACAAACAGCUGCGAAAGCGUUCCGCAAGGAUGUUCCCUUUGAUCAAGAACGAAAGUUGGGGGAUCGAAGACGAUCAGAUACCGUCGUAGUCUCAACUAUAAACUAUACCAGCUAGGGAUCGGCCAACGUUUAAUUAAUCGACUUGGUCGGCACCUUAUGAGAAAUCAAAGCAUCUGGGUUCCGGGGGGAGUAUGGUCGCAAGGCUGAAACUUAAAGGAAUUGACGGAAGGGCACCACCAGCCGUGGAGCCUGUGGCUUAAUUUGACUCAACACGGGAAAACUUACCAGGUCCAGACAUAGGAAGGAUUGACAGAUUGAUAGCUCUUUCUUGAUUCUGUGGGUGGUGGUGCAUGGCCGUUUUUAGUUGGUGGAGUGAUUUGUCUGCUUAAUUGCGUUAACGAACGAGACCCCAGCCUGCUAAAUAGCGCGGCCGAGCUUUGCUCGGUGCGAGCUUCUUAGAGGGACCAUGAUGCGCGAUAGCACAAGGAAGUUUGGGGCAACAACAGGUCUGUGAUGCCCUUAGAUGUUCUGGGCCGCACACGGGCUACACUGGCGCCUGCAACGAGCAUAUCAGCUGGCCCGAGAGGGUCUUGGCUAAUCUUUUGAACCGGCGCCGUGCUUGGGAUUGACCUUUGCAAUUGUUGGUCAUGCAACGAGGAAUGCCUUGUAAACGCGAGUCAUCAGCUCGCAUUGAAUACGUCCCUGCCCUUUGUACACACCGCCCGUCGCUCCUACCGAUGAAUGUUCCGAUGAAAUUUUCGGAGAGCGCCAGAGAACGGGGCUCUGCCUUGCAGAUCUGGAGGCUCAAAGUCACUUAAAUCUGAACAUUUCGAGGAAGGAGAAGUCGUAACAAGGUAACC
rnacentral:rRNA from 1 species